rnacentral:rRNA from 1 species
UACAGAGGGUGCAAGCGUUGUUCGGAAUUAUUGGGCGUAAAGCGCGUGUAGGCGGCUUUGCAAGUCGGGUGUGAAAGCCCUCAGCUCAACUGAGGAAGUGCGCCCGAAACUGCAGAGCUUGAGUACCGGAGAGGAUGGCGGAAUUCCCCAAGUAGAGGUGAAAUUCGUAGAUAUGGGGGAGGAACACCGGUGGCGAAGGCGGCCAUCUGGACGGAUACGUGACGCUGAGACGCGAAAGCGUGGGUAGCAAACAGG